AUGCCGGGUGUUCCGACGAAAUUCGCCGAGCACAAGCUACACGUUCGGUCCGAUGCCAAGCCAGUCACGCAGCUCUUGUGCCGCCUGUCGGAGGAGAAGAGAAGAGUUGUUGGAGAAGAGAUAGCCCGGCUUCUAGCAGCCGGCUUCAUCAUGGAAGUAUUCUUUCCAGAGUGGUUAGCCAACCCGGUCCUAGUGUUGAAGAAGAACAAGCAGUGGCGCAUGUGUAUUGAUUAUACCAGCCUCAACAAAGCAUGCCCCAAAGACCCAUUUGCUCUGCCAAGAAUCGAUCAAGUGAUUGACUCCACAGCCGGAUGCGAGCUGUUGAGCUUUUUGGAUGCAUACUCAGGGUAUCACCAGAUCAAGCUGAGCACGGCCGACAGGCUGAAGACAGCCUUCAUCACUGUUGGAAAUAUGUGUUGGGGAACGUAG
rnacentral:rRNA from 1 species